rnacentral:tRNA from 1 species
GCCGAUGUGAUGAAACUGGUAAACAUGCGCGACUCAAAAUCGCGUGCUUUCGGGCUUGUGGGUUCAACUCCCACCAUCGGCA